UUUUUUUUGCCUUUGCCAAGGUAGAAUUUCCAUUUCUCAGCCGGGUGCCAGGUCGUUAGCUCGUAUUUGUUCACUAGAACGGGUGUGUGUUCUCAAAACAGUGAAAAGUUGUGUACCUUUCAGGGUGGUUGCCUUUUUUUUUUUUUUGUUUUUUAAAUGUGCUUGGCCUCUCUGCCUUCGGAUGCAAAAAGGUCGAAGUGGUGACAACGCCCAAAGGAGGUCUACAAAGAAAUGUAUUCCCCUCCCCUCCAACCCCCCCCCCCUUUGGAUCUGGUUUUCUUGCAGGAAAGACCGGGAAAGCUGAUGGCCCACUAGGUUAAAGGAAACGACCUACAGACCUUUCUCUCAUCCCCAAAACCUAGUCCGCAGGUUUAUGCAUUGAGUUCAACCCAAAUCAGUGUCUCCACCUCCUUAAAAACGGUUAAUUAUGUUGAAUUUCAAAGAAUAAAAGAGGAUGUGAGAAUUUUAUGCUCCUGAAAGAAGCUGUACUUUGAAAAUAUUGAGAAACAUAGGUUUUGCUUUGUCUUUAAGGAAUGCCAGGCACUGGGUGAUCAAACCUCAGGAUCCCUGGAAGUAAAGCAGAGAAGACACAUAAUGACAAGAUCCUACCUUUCCGUAUUCAAGCAAAGCAGGAAAUUAUCAUUCUGGUGCUUUUCUGAAACUGUUCAAGGAUUACAGACAUUGGGACGCCUGAGUGGCUCAGCGGUUGAGUGUCUGCCUUCAGCUCAGGUCUGGGGAUCGAGUCCUGCAUCAGGCUCCUCGGCAUUGGGCUCCCCGCAGGGAGCCUGCUUCUCGCUCUGCUUCUCUCUCUGUGUCUCUCAUGAAUAAAUAAAUAAAAAUCUUUUAAAAAAUUACAGAAAUUUACACCUGAGACAAAAUGGCAUAGAAGUGUAGCAAGAUUAUCUGAUUUACUGAAAAUCACGGUGGAGGAUGGCGGUGCCAGAUUCAAGCCCAAGUACAUUUGUCUCCGACUCUAUUUGGCUGCCAGUCAUCAUGAUUUUCAUUUCUUACUUUCAAAACAGGAAUAAAAUCAUAAUUACCUUGGAAGAUAAGCCUUAUUUAAUUUCUUUAAAAAUACUAAACAUUCACUUACCAUGUGGCCCAGCAAUCACACUCCUGGACAUCCAUCCCAGAGAAAGGAAAGCUUCUGGGUUUACAACAACCUGUACAUUAGUGUGCAGAGCAGCUUUAUUUUCAGCCCCAAGCUGGAAAUAGCUGAAAUGCCCUUUAGUGGGUGAAUGGUCAAACAAACCAGGGUACAUCUGUACCACGGAAUGUUACUCAAUAAAAGGAACAGACUAAUGGUACAUCCAACAACUCUGAGGAUGAACCCUAGGCAUUAUGCUGAGUGGAACAAGCCAGUCACCCAAGGACAUGAUCUGGAUGAUUCCAUUUGCAUGACACGCUCUGACAGAAGUUUAGAGGUGGACAACAGAUUAGUGGCUGCCUGGAAUAGGGAUGGUGGAGAAAGAGGAGGCCGGUGUAUUUGUAUUUAUAAAGGGGUAGCAUGGAGGAGAUUUUCGUGACAUAGUUUCUUGUCUUAAUUGUAUUGUGGGCUACCUAAGUCACGUUGGAUAAAAUGACAAAACUCUACACAUACAUUGUACCAGCGUCCUUCUCCUGGUUGUGAUAUUGUGCUCUAGCUUCGUAAGACGGUCCCAUUAGGGAAAGGUGGGUGAGCGGUAUUUGGGACUCCUCUGUACUGUAUUUGCAACUUCUUGUGAAUUGAUAAUUAUUUCAAGAUAAGAACUUUAAAAAAUAGCCUUAUUGUCUCUCAUCUUCCUCCCUACUCCUCUUCCCCAAUCUAGCUGAUCACUCAGCCAGAGACCAGGCACUAUUAGUGUAGGGGCCCAGGACAGGCUGCCUCAAAAUGUACCUUGAUGGCAUACUGAUUAUUUUGAGUGGAACUCCUUGGGGAAGGGCUGAUGCAAGGACACUCAGACCCUCUUCUGUCCCCCCCUCAAAGGAAGGAAUAAAUCCCCCAUAUGAGAAAUAAUUCCCUCCCUGCACUGAGAAGUAAAAAGAUAACCCUCAUCACCAGAGUUAGGGACUUUAAAGCUGAAAAGGCUGUAGAAACAAACCUGAUUAUUUUUUUAAAGACCUACUCCCUUCACCUAAAUUCUGCUUAGAAUAUUCUUACUAAUGA